UGUGCGGAUCUAUGCGAAACUGA
rnacentral:miRNA from 1 species